UACGAAGGGGGCUAGCGUUGCUCGGAAUCACUGGGCGUAAAGGGUGCGUAGGCGGCUUCUUAAGUCUGGUGUGAAAGCCCAGGGCUCAGCUCUGGAAGUGCACUAGAUACUGGGAAGCUUGAGUACCGGAGGGGAGAGUGGAAUUCCUGGUGUAGCGGUGAAAUGCGUAGAUAUCAGGAGGAAUACCGGUGGCGAAAGCGACUCUCUGGACGGUUACUGACGCUGAGGCACGAAAGCGUGGGGAGCAAACAGG
rnacentral:rRNA from 1 species